UUCAUCCUCCAUGAAAGUGUCUCUCAAAGCUUCCAUCACCUUCCCAAAUUAACCUUAAAUUUCAUGCUUUUACACACCUUGUUAUAGGGUUUUUCAUACUCUUUUACUCUUUCGCCUUAAAAACCCUCAAAAGUCUUACUCUUAUACUUUCUCUCACUAGCUAGGUGUUUUAGAGAGAGAAAGAGAGAGCUUUUACAGUAACUUGAAAACUCUUAGAAAGGGAUUCAAUUAUAAAGCUACCAAGGUUCCAACGAAGCCCCACCGCCCCAUUUGGACCAUUACAGCAAGUUGGAGUUGGGUAAAGAUUUAAUAAAUAUCGCAAGAAAAUGGCUUUUGGACGUAACAAGACCCCUUUAACUAAAUUGCUCUGUUUCUCACUACAGCGAGAUUCAUUUUUGCUGUAGCAAGAAACUCUUGGGUUGGCAGCCUUAAUCCAUGCUCUGAAUUUCGCUGUAACGAGAAACUCUCAGAUUCGUAGAUAGUCGGAAUCUAGAUUGAGGCGUCCACUUGCAAUUCACCCUUGGUAGGUAUCAUGGCAUUCGAUAGCUGUAUCCUCACCCAAUUCACUCCGUUGGAAGUCAAAAGUAUUUUUCUUGUGUAUACGCAUACGUAAUGUAAACUACUGUUAUAUAUGUCAUAAACUGUAUAUGUUUAUUUAGAUUAAUGUUGCCAUUAUGACUUGGC